CGCACAUUGCGCCCGCCAGCAUUCUGGCGGGCAUGCCUGUUCGAGCGUCAUUUCAACCCUCAAGCUCUGCUUGGUGUUGGGGCCCUACAGCUGAUGUAGGCCCUCAAAGGUAGUGGCGGACCCUCCCGGAGCCUCCUUUGCGUAGUAACUUUACGUCUCGUACUGGGAUCCGGAGGGACUCUUGCCGUAAAACCCCCCAAUUUUCCAAAGGUUGACCUCGGAUCAGGUAGGAAUACCCGCUGAACUUAA
rnacentral:misc_RNA from 1 species